UACGGGGGGAGCAAGCGUUGUUCGGAUUUACUGGGCGUAAAGGGCUCGUAGGCGGCCAACUAAGUCAGACGUGAAAUCCCUCGGCUUAACCGGGGAACUGCGUCUGAUACUGGAUGGCUUGAAUCCGGGAGAGGGAUGCGGAAUUCCAGGUGUAGCGGUGAAAUGCGUAGAGAUGUGGAGGAACACCGAUGGCGAAGGCAGCCCCCUGGGUCAAGAUUGACGCUCAUGCACGAAAGCGUGGGUAGCAAACAGG
rnacentral:rRNA from 1 species